CUCCCUGAGAACAGGAGGAGAAAGUGAACACUCUGCAGGAGGGACAGUUGUGGCCAUAAAAAAGAAACUGCUGCUGAUUUGCUCAGAGAGUCAUAUUACCUCCAAACAUCCAGUGCUGGCCUCUCUCAGUCAGAGCUGGAACAGGCUAAUUAGAUGAAGAGCCCAGGAGCAGCAGGCACCACAAACAAACUUAUGAAAAAGGAGAAAGAAGAGGGGGAGGGAGAAAACCAGGAGGAGUGAAAGUCUGUGAAACGUUUACUUCUGCGUUUGGUUCUCCUGUCAGAGAAGAGUUUGGUGGAAAAGUUGCAAACAUUUGCUCCAGAGAGCUCCGCUGAAGCCUUUUUCAUUUGGAAGAGAAUCAGUUUUGCAACUCCUGCACCUGAACAUGGGAGACGAGGUGAAGGAUAUUUUCUGGAAGAUAUGGACCAAACUUCAGGGUCUCCCAGAAGCAAGUUCGCUGGACGUGGGAGCCUUUGUUGUGCUCCUCCUUUUUGUUGUCACAGUUAUCUCCAUGAUAAUACUCUCAUGCACCCACGAAUGCUGGUUUAAAAAGCUAAAGCACCAGCCCUCAAGAGUUCAGCCCAUACAUGGCGCCUGAGGAGGAGACUGAACAGACUACACCAAUGAACAUAAUCUUCAUCCUUCUUCAGUUGUCUCUGGAAGAAUUAAGUGGGUAUCAAAAGGGCUUGUGGAGGCAAGGAUGGGAAGUCGGUGCCAUGUUAUUUCCAGUACUGGAUGAGCAUCCAGAGAGCCACGCCACUGGAAUCCAUAGAAAUCAGCAGAGAGGCACAACUCAUCAAGAUUCAUUAUAAACCAGAACAAUGAAACCCUGUGUGGCAGCAUUUCAUUGACAAAAAGACUCAGUAACAAAGCUGAUGUGUCCUCAAAUGUCACAGUGACUCAGUUAUUACAAAUGUAGUGGUUUGCUAUGCUGUUCACAUUCAUCAGGAAUGUGAACAACAACAUGGACAGUGUACAUUCCAACACGUAUGUGUGCCGUGGACAACGUUCAACAGAAACAUGCCUUUGUUAGCAAGCGUAGCGCCCUCUGCUGGCUCAGUGAAGCAAAUCGUGCCAACGGAGAAUGUGAGCUGUUCAUUGUUUGAUGUUAUAAAUGUAUUCCCGUUAUAUUGUAAAAUAGUAUGUGACGUACAGGAAAUGCAGCAUUUGUUGUUGUUUGCUUCUUAGUUUUGUAAAUGUAAUAGAUGCUAAAUACUUUAAUUAAAUAAAUUCUUUUUUUUUAAUAUCUAAUGUAGUUUCCACAGUCUAUAAGAGCAAGGCUCAAAAUCUCAUCAGUGCUCCAGUGUGUGCACUCCUUAUCAUCAGAGUUCCUCUUUGCCUUUUGAGUUUAAACAUUAACCAUGAGCUGUUGCUUUUACUUUGAAAUGGCAGUCACCUGGAAAUGAGAACAAACUGACACGGGUCACCUGGACAUGCAAACAGGAACCGUGCUACGUUUGGAUUUACAGAAGGACACCUCUGUGCUUGAAGUGAAAGUAAACUGUCAUUUUGGGACUUUUAAAAACUCACAGUUGUGUUUGGGAAUCAGGAAAGCAGAUGAAGCUUUCUGCUCUCACACUCUGCUGUGUUUUCACAUUCUGUUAGGAGUCAGUGAGCCGAUCAUUUAGCAGGAUAUGGCGGUGGAGAGUAUACUGGAGCAGCAGAAACCCACAGGGCCACCUGAGGACUGGGUGGAGUGGUUCCUUCAUCGUGUGCAUCAGGAGCCGUGGGCACUGGGCGGUAUUAUUGUCAUAGGAGUGUUCGUGCUGGGAACUCUGUCUCUGGUGAUCUUCGCUCUGCUGUAUGGAUGCUGCUGCAGCUCAGGAGGCAAAACACUGAAGAAGAAGAAAAGGCAGAAGAAUUCAAAGGACCGAGUCAUUUGAGUGUGUGUUCAGAUAAAGGAGAAAUUGUACAAAUCUCCACUUUUGAAAUUUGAAUUUCUUGGCUACACAGUAUGUCGCCUUUUUUGAAAUCAAAAUGCUGAUAUGUUUCUGUAGUAUCACUCAAAACAGUGGGAACACAUCAGUGAUGCCAAACCAUUGUUAACUUUGGCUUUGCAGGCAGUUAUUUGCAUGAACUCUACAGCUUAAAGGCUUAAUGUGUGUCACUGUCAAAAAGAGUUGUAAAACGGACUGAUGGAGCACUUUCUACUCUGAGCACUCAAAGUGCUUUUUGCUACAAGAAGGAAACAUUUAAAUAUUGCAGUUGUAACAAAAUAACACGAAC